CCAGAGGAGUCCAGCAGAAAGUG
rnacentral:piRNA from 1 species